CACUCUGUCACGUGUACACAGGAAAGGGCCCUGACAAGAGGAUGGGACUGCAGUUGUGGCUGCCAGAGCUCCGGCCAGGGUGAAAACAAGGAACAUUCCGGAGAAGAUCACAAGGAUGCGAAUAAAAUCUGAGCUGCACAGGGAUCUUUGGGCUGAGCUUUCUGUCUGGCUUCCCUCCUGGCCCCUCCUGUAUGCAUUCUCUCUAGCGGUGGGGAUUAAGGAGAAAACUCACGUGGCCAGUGGGUAGAGAGAGUCUGGGCAGGCAGCUGCCUGAAGUCAGCCAGAGUCUGCAUGUGCCCAGCUGUCCUGGCCUCCAGCAUCUCUGGAAAAACAGAGACAGAAUGAGUAGCAGCAGGGAACCCCAUAGGGCACAUCUGAAGGCCUGAGAGGUUGGAGUGCAGUGGCACGAUCUCGGCUCACUGCAACCUCCGCCUCCUGAGUUCAAGUGAUUCUCCUGCCUCAGCCUCCCUAGUAGCUGGGAUUACAGGACAAGCAGAGGGACAAAUUCCUUCUUGGCAUCCUUAUGGCCCCAUGACCUGCUAAUGAAUGCUGACUCUGAGUGGCUACUAGAAUUUGGUUUCCUUAUGGCUUCCCAGGAAUUGUGAGCCAUGUUGGAUAAGGUCCUGCAAGGGAAGAAUGAGGAAGCCUGGGACAGUGCGGGAGGGGAGAGCACUGGUGGUAGGGAGGAGUGAUGACAAGGGUCUCCGCUAAAAGGGAAAUGGAGGGGUUAAAGAAGCAGCUGGGGAAGGUUAAAAACAAUGAGGUGUUCUCACUCAUAGGUGGGAAUUGAACAAUGAGAACGCUUGGACACAGGAAGGGGAACAUCACACACUGGGGCCUGUCGUGGGGUUGGGGGAGGGGGAGGGA
rnacentral:sRNA from 1 species